UACGUAGGGGGCGAGCGUUGUCCGGAUUUAUUGGGCGUAAAGAGCUCGUAGGCGGCCUGUCGCGUCGGCUGUGAAAACCCGGGGCUCAACCCCGGGCCUGCAGUCGAUACGGGCAGGCUAGAGUCCGGCAGGGGAGACUGGAAUUCCUGGUGUAGCGGUGAAAUGCGCAGAUAUCGGGAGGAACACCGGUGGCGAAGGCGGUUCUCUGGGCCUGUACUGACGCUGAGGAGCGAAAGCGUGGGGAGCGAACAGG
rnacentral:rRNA from 1 species